AGAGCCAAGGGCCAGCGCCUGCGCCCUGACCUCCCCACCGCAAACCUGCGGCUGCUGCCCUUCUCCUCCAGCUGACUCAAGAGCAUCCUGGGAGAUAGAGAAUAAUCAAAGGAAAAAAGAGGAGAGAACAGAGCAGAUAUGAAAGUGGAAAAGAAAUAGAAGGGCAAGGAGGAAGAGACAGAAAGAAGGAGGCAGGAGGAGCAAAAGAGAAAAACAGGAGUGUACAGUGUUGGGAAAAAAAAGUUCCAGAGAACUGGAGAGGAAAAGAAGAAAGAAAAAGAAAAAAAAGACGUUUCGAUGACCAAAGCAAAUCAUGCUUUGAGGCUUCAGGAUAUGUUAACGCUUCAGAAAACUUUGUACAGAACCUACCACGUUCUGGAUGGUCCCCUGUGUGCUUUAAUGUAAAUACUCGUG
rnacentral:lncRNA from 1 species